CCUGAUCCAGCCAUGCCGCGUGCAGUGAUGACGGUCCUAUGGAUUGUAAACUGCUUUUGCACAGGAAGAAACAACGCUACGUGUAGCGUCUUGACGGUACUGUGAGAAUAAGGAUCGGCUAACUCCGUGCCAGCAGCCGCGGUAAUACGGAGGAUCCAAGCGUUAUCCGGAAUCAUUGGGUUUAAAGGGUCCGUAGGCGGUUUAGUAAGUCAGUGGUGAAAGCCCAUCGCUCAACGGUGGAACGGCCAUUGAUACUGCUAGACUUGAAUUAUUAGGAAGUAACUAGAAUAUGUAGUGUAGCGGUGAAAUGCUUAGAGAUUACAUGGAAUACCAAUUGCGAAGGCAGGUUACUACUAAUGGAUUGACGCUGAUGGACGAAUGCGUGGGUAGCGAACAGGAUUAGAUACCCUGGUAGUCCACGCCGUAAACGAUGGAUACUAGCUGUUGGGAGCGAUCUCAGUGGCUAAGCGAAAGUGAUAAGUAUCCCACCUGGGGAGUACGUUCGCAAGAAUGAAACUCACAGGAAUUGACGGGGGCCCGCACAAGCGGUGGAGCAUGUGGUUUAAUUCGAUGAUACGCGAGGAACCUUACCAAGGCUUAAAUGUAAAUUGACCGGUUUGGAAACAGACUUUUC
rnacentral:rRNA from 1 species